GCAAUACAGUCAGGAUGGCUAAAGGUGAUCCCAAGAAACCAAAGGGCAAGAUGUCUGCUUAUGCCUUCUCUGUGCAGACGUGCAGAGAGGAACAUAAGAAGAAAAACCCCAAGGUCCCUGUCACUUUUGCAGAAUUUUCCAAGAAGUGCUCUGAGAAGUGGAAGACAAUGUCUGGGAAAGAGAAGUCUAAAUUUGAUGAAAUAGCAAAGGCAGAUAAAGUGCACUAUGAUCGGGAAAUGAAAGAUUAUGGACCAGCUAAGGGAGGCAAGAGGAAAAGGGACCCUAAUGCCCCCAAAAGGCCACCAUCUGGAUUCUUCCUGUUCUGUUCAGAAUUCCGCCCCAAGAUCAAAUCUACAAACCCUGGUAUCUCUAUUGGAGAUGUGGCAAAGAAGCUGGGUGAGAUGUGGAAUAACUUAAGUGACAGUGAAAAGCAGCCUUACAACAAUAAGGCAGCAAAGCUGAAGGAGAAGUACAAGAAGGAUGUCGCUGACUAUAAAUCUAAAGGAAAUGUUGCUGCCGCAAAGGGUCCUGACCAAAGUUGCCCAGAAAAAGGUGGAAGAGGAAGAUGAAGAAGAUGAGGAGGAAGAAGAGGAGAAGGAGGAGGAGGAGGAAUAA